CCUACGGGAGGCAGCAGUGGGGAAUCUUGCGCAAUGGGCGAAAGCCUGACGCAGCCAUGCCGCGUGAAUGAUGAAGGUCUUAGGAUUGUAAAAUUCUUUCACCGGGGACGAUAAUGACGGUACCCGGAGAAGAAGCCCCGGCUAACUUCGUGCCAGCAGCCGCGGUAAUACGAAGGGGGCUAGCGUUGCUCGGAAUUACUGGGCGUAAAGGGAGCGUAGGCGGAUAGUUUAGUCAGAGGUGAAAGCCCAGGGCUCAACCUUGGAAUUGCCUUUGAUACUGGCUAUCUUGAGUGUGGGAGAGGUUAGCGGAACUCCGAGUGUAGAGGUGAAAUUCGUAGAUAUUCGGAAGAACACCAGUGGCGAAGGCGGCUAACUGGCCCAUUACUGACGCUGAGGCUCGAAAGCGUGGGGAGCAAACAGGAUUAGAUACCCUGGUAGUCCACGCCGUAAACGAUGAGUGCUAGUUGUCGGCANGNANGNAUGUCGGUGUCGCGNGCUACGACAUAGUACACNCCGCCGUCGGGAGGUACGGUCGCGAGAAGUAAACGUUAAAGUAAAGUUAGUUAGUCGUUGAGACGNGCGACGGACGACGACGAGGAGGAGG
rnacentral:rRNA from 1 species